rnacentral:rRNA from 1 species
CCCCCCCCAAAAAAAAUAUUUUACCAUUUAAGUAAAGACGAUUGAAAACUUCUCAGGAGCUACACAUGUACCGCAAGGGAAAGAUGAAAUAAAAAUGAAAUAAUUGAAGCACGACAAAGUAAAGAUUAAACCUUGUACCUUUUGCAUCAUGGUUUAACUAGUAAAAUCAAGCAAAAGGACUUCUAGUUUGACUCCCCGAAACCAAACGAGCUACCCUGGGGCAGCUAAAUGAGCAAACCCCUCCCUGUUGCAAAAGCGUGGGAAGACCCCAUAGUAGAGGUGACAAACCUAACGAGUUUGGUGAUAGCUGGUUACUUGAGAAAAGAAUCCAGUCCAACCUAAAGUGGUCCAAAAACCAAAUUUUUAAACUUUAGAGCAAUUCAAAUAAGGUACAGCCUAUUUGAAACAGGACACAACCUUCAACAACGGGUAAUUCCCUUACAUCUCAACUAAGUGGGCCUAAAAGCAGCCACCUUAAAAUAGAGCGUCAAAGCCUAAUUUUUCAUCACAUCAAAUACCACAAUCUUUUGAAAACCCUUCACCACUAUCAAGUUCUUCUAUACCCACUAUAGAAAUUUUUAUGUUAAAACUAGUAACAAGAAGUCACUUCUCUCUAUGCAAGUGUAAAUCAGUACGGACCACCCACUGAUACUUAUACAGUUAACUAACUGCCACAACCCCUAGAAAACCCUAUUUUUUCCCCCGUUAACCUAACACAAGAGCAUCUCAAGAAAGAAAAAACGAAAAAGAAGGAACUCGGCAAACACUUAUCCCGCCUGUUUACCAAAAACAUCGCCUCUUGAACUAAAUAAAAGGCCAAGCCUGCCCAGUGACAUAAAUUCAACGGCCGCGGUAUCCUGACCGUGCAAAGGUAGCGUAAUCACUUGUUUUUUAAAUAAAGACUAGUAUGAAAGGCAUCACGAGGAUCAACCUGUCUCCUUUUUCGAAUCUGUGAAACUAAUCUUCCCGUGAAGAAGCGGGAAUCUCCCUAUAAGACGAGAAGACCCUAUGGAGCUUCAAACAGUGUAAUAAUUGCCCAUUCCUUACCUUUUUCUUUUUUCCCCCCGCAUUUUAAUUACACAGUUUUAGGUUGGGGUGACCGCGGAGAAAAAUCUAACCUCCACGCUGAAUGGGCCCUCCCUUAACAGAGAGUGACAACUCCAUGUAUCAACAAUUUGACAGCAAUUGACCCAAUCACUUGAUCAACGAAACAAGUUACCCUAGGGAUAACAGCGCAAUCCACUUCCAGAGCUCGUAUCAACAAGUGGGUUUACGACCUCGAUGUUGGAUCAGGGUAUCCCAGUGGUGCAACCGCUACUAAAGGCUCGUUUGUUCAACGAUUAAAACCCUACGUGAUCUGAGU